GAAAGGGAGAGUGAGAGAAUAGAAAGGGAACAGGGAGAGGGAGCGUAAAUGAAUCUAUGUAUACAUUGGAGGGUCAGGAGGAUCAAACUAAAGAACCUGGCACUUAAAAUGACACCUAUGCCUAUCUUUUAGAUGGGGCCAUUAAAGUUUAUUUUUUUAAUAACAACCCCGUAUGUUAUUUAGGGUUUGAGAUUCUCUUAAGGCUAAUUUCAAUGGAGGAUUUAUAUUAAUGGGACGGUUUCCAACAUUAUCACAUCAUCUAAACUGAUUUUUUGUUGAUGAAUGAAACCAUACAUCCAAUGUAGAGUUUCAUAUCAUGGUUUCGUAGGCCAGUUAUAGACUUUGAUUGAGAUGCAUUUGAUUGAAUAAAAUCAGUUGAAAUAAAACUCUGAUGUAGUUUCGACGUGUGUC
rnacentral:lncRNA from 1 species